GAGAGUGAAUUCUGUAACCGCCACAUUUGAGCAAAUUUAUCAAAAUCAUGAAGUCCAUCAUGUGUUGAAACCAGUUCUGAUAAUGCAAUUACUGGAGAUCCUCUUUCCUUUUACAGCAUGAUGGUAAAAAUCUGGCUGUAUGAGGCUACUCUGAAGUUGAGCCUUGCCUUGGCAAGAGUAGGGAACAACCAGCUGAAACACAAUUGUAACCUUUUUUUAAAAAAAAAAAAAAACCUAAACAAAUAUAAUAAAUGGUGGGGUGAGAUUUGGACCAUCAGUGGACACAGGAAAUGGUUUGGGCAAGCUAGAGAAAUGGUGUUUAAUUAAGGGAAAGAAAGAGGAAGCAAUGCUUUAGCCCAGAGUGACCUCCAGAUGUUACUGAACUACAACUCCCAUCAGCCCAGCCAGCAUCACCAGUGGUUAGGGAUCAUGGGAAUUGGAGUCCCUUAUCAGCUGGGCGGCAUCACAUUGGCUAUUCCUGCUUUUCGUUUAGGAGUCGAAGGCAAUGUGAGAGUGGAUUAAAAACAAAACAAAACAUGAAAACUGUAGCUUUUCCAUUGACUUUCAUGGCUUGUGGACUGUGCCCACACUGUGAGUCAAAAGCUAGGCAAAUAUGUUAAGAUAAGAACAUACUGAACUGUUUCCUAAUAGCAAGAUCAUUUAGACAAUGAGUCCAAAAUCCUUGUGUGCAAUGGUUUGAGGCUUGAUAGCUAUUGGAAAAUGCAUUCCUAGGGAGGGUGACCCAUGUGUUCUUGUAAGCAGCUUUGCACAUGUUUGGCAGUUUUUACUUGAUUGGAUGAAAAACACUGUAACUGGGUAGGCAGUUGGUUUGCACAAUGGCCAGCAUGUGAAGCAAACUCUAUGGAGCUGUGUUUUCAAGUUACCACCGUACAGCAAAAAUCACAUAGAGGAGUCAGGCACACAAAUAGGAGGCUGGGUAGGAUGUUCACUGAGACAUAAAUCACCCAGAACCUGGGAAGAUGCAGUUAUUUUUCCACAUGGAUUGAUGGAAGAAAAAUUGGAAUAGCAUCAGAUUCCUCAAAGUUUUGUUAUAAGUCCCUGUCAAAUUCUGAGUUAUAAUAAUAUGUAUUUCACAAAGUUUCUCCAGACAUAUGAUUACCUGUUAGGUGUGGUACACAAAGCACGCUGGGUACUUGUAAUAAAACCUUAUUCUGGGGAAUAACUGCUUUUCCCUUCUCUGGUGGUGGGAGGAGAGUCCAGUGGGACAUAAUGGAAUAUUCUUCUCAUGUUCCAAAUUGAUAUAUAACGAUGCACUAUGGAAAAGUUGGGAUUGGUUGAGCAUAUGCGAUAAAUAAUAUAAUAUGUAUAAAAACUUAUUUGAUAAACUUGGUUUCAUCUUUUAGUUAUGUAUGGUGAUAAGCGAGAGGCCUCUUCAUCCUGCCAGUUACACAGCUCCCCUUUCUGUACUGCUGUUACCAGCAAUUUUAUCAGCAGUCGCCUUUAAUACCUUAUUCAUGUGCUUUGGGGUGAAAAGUUAAUGUAGCUAUAUAUUAUUCAUCCAAGAGAAAGGACAUUUUUUCAAUACAAGUUGCCUCAUUUCUCUUGGAAAGGGGCAGUGCUGUGAGCCAGAAGAGCAGUGUAAAGCUCUGUUGGAUGUGUGUCAAUGAAUUAGGCUUUAUAGAUCCAUGCUUGAUGUUGUUUUAAUAUUUGCGGAAAGUUUGGGUGUCUAAUAAUCUACCUAUUGCAACAAAUUUACUUUUGAACCUUUCCUGUCUUUCUUGUGUAUCUCAGGUUGACCUGCUGUCACCCUUUUUAGCCACUAUAAAAAAGUGCUUUUGUUUCUCCUUCUCUUUCUUAUUUGGUUUAUCCAGAUGAAGUAAUAGAUAAAGUCAUCUUGCAUAUGCAUGCACUGAUGCUUUAUUUAAUCCAGUGUUUCCCAAACUUGUUUUUGGACUACAAGUCUCAUUACCCCUAGUCAGGAACAAUGGGCAUUCUGGUCUGAAAACAGCUGGAGACCCAAGUUUGGGAAGCACUGAUUUAAUCCAACACAUUUGUGGUCCCAAGUGCUUCUGUGCCAGCACUGAGAAGUUUCCUUGUCUGAUGGCAGCUCUUUAUGAAACCUCAUAAGCCACUCACAAGAGCUAUUGCAACUACUUGGGCAGUUUUUCAGGUAACUUUGUGGGUAGGAAAAGUGCGCUGAAACACCCAGGCUCAGAACCAGAGCCUGGUGUCCCAAAGUGCAUGUUGCUUCUGCUGCCUCUCACCUCUUCUCCUGCAAUGCUGUAUUGUAUAUAGGUUCCUGAAUCUUCUCUUCAGCCUGAGCCAAGUGGUUCGGCUACCUCAGCAAGUCUUCAGCUGCCACCAAGCCACCCCAUCUUCCUCUCAGGCCUUCUUUCUUCUCCCUAAAUCCUUUUGCUCUGUGGUCUUCUUCUGAUUGUCCAUCACGAACACUAAGCACCAGCCAACAUGGACGGACUCUGACUGGCUAGUACCCAGCCAUUCUGGCCCCCAGGUGACUGUUAAACCAACUCCCAUCUAGCUAGACAGAAAGCUUCCCCCUUCCAACACAUUACACUGUACAUGACACUACAACUGACAGAAUAUAUUACACAAUACCCAUUGAAACACAGCUUAAACAAACAGGAUUGAUUCACGUUAUAAAAAUAAUUAAUGAUCAGUCGUAUGGCUCUCUAGCACCUUUUGUGAAUUCCCAGAUUUUGAGAAUUCAUAUGGAAAGGUGAUCAUAGAGGGACUGAAGCUGAGCAGGACAGGAACCCUAAGUUCCCUAGCCCUCCUUUCUCAGCUGACUUCACCCCAUCUUUCUUUCUUUCCAUCCCUGCUCUCAGCCCCUUGGCAAGACAUUUCCUCUGUCCCCUGGCUCACCUUCAUCCUUACUUCAGAUUUCUGCAUCCUUCCUGUCCUCCCUUCAGUCGGGCUCAGCUCUAGCCUGCUCCAGCGGCUGUGCUUGGAGAAAGUACUGCCUUUGUGACAUCACUAGCCAAUGCACCAAUCCCCACAUCUCAGAAUUCUUGUCCAUUGGUGGGGAGUGGUGUAAUGCCUGCAGAUGAUGUCACAAAGGCAUUACUUUCUCCCUAAGAUGGGGAAACCUUUCAUAUCAGUUGCCCAUGUAGUUGCUAGGAUAAAAAGCCAUUUUGAAGCAACCUUCUAGGGGCCACAUGCCAGUGGCUGGUGGAGUCAGAGGCAGAAGUAGCAAAUGCACAUUUUACCUGUGUGCAGUAGGCUAGUUUCUUCACACACUCACAAGCCGAUCUCUAUCCUCCAUCAUCCAAACAGGAAGCAUUAUCAGAGAUCAAGGGCACAUUCCAGGCAGGCAGAAGCACUCAUGGAUUGUCUAAGGCAGGGCAGGUGAGGAGUGUGGCCUGGGGAAAGGGGGUGUGGCCAGACAGAGAGAUCUGGAGGGCUACAUGUGACCCUCCAGGCCUGUGCUUCCCCAUCUCUGAAGCAGACUGAAAUGGUAAUCUGGAAAAUAAUAACAAAGACACAGCAGAUAGGGAAAACAAUGACAUCAGAUAGGAUUGGGGGGAAAGCAUUCUCACAAUGAAAGGACUGUUAUCUGAAAAAAACUGGUUUCAGCCUGAAAAUGGAAAUGGAAGAUAUCUUCAGGGCAUCUUUAGUAAUGCAUAGUUCCGGCCUCAGUUUGUCACCAGCUAUUUACACUAAGUUCCUUUAAUCCUGAAGCACUAUUUAUCUCAUCUUGGAUAGUCACUUAAAAUCUAAAGUAUUAGAUGUGAUCUUAAAUGUUUGUGGUGAUGCAGGAAGGCAUGCUUUCAGAAAGUAUACACAGUAAUAAAAUGGAAUGCACAGUUUGUGUGUUAAAACUUUACUGUCGGUAGAGCUUUUAGCCACACUAAUAAGAAAAGUGAUUUUAUUCAGAGCAAACAGAAGCUAUAAAAGGUUAACUCUCUUUUGUUGCUUUGUGUUUUGCUGUGUGAACACUAAUGUAGGUGCCUGCUGAAAUGGGCAGAUAAAUCCUGUAUUUGCUAAAAUUUAGCACUUAAUAAGCUAUCUUUAGUAAAAGUAUGAAAAAGGCUUAUGCCCCUUUCUGACAAGUUAAGAGAAAUAAACCUAAGUCAGACUCAAUAAAGAAUCCUUCUAGUCUCUCAGAUUCUGCACUGCUCCUUUUCAAAAUGGGUUAAUGUCGCUUCUGAUGUUUGUAGGUACUGAAGCCAUGUAAUACGGGCUUAGUUUUCAAAGCAAUGGAUGCAUUUGCACAGUGUGACUGUGAAGAAGAGUUCAGAAGCUCUCGCUUCCAUUUUGGAUUAAGUACAGCUUGUUGAACUCAAACAAACUGCCAUUUAUCUUAACUACUGUUUGUUGAAAUAGGCUAGCUUCA
rnacentral:lncRNA from 1 species